CACGACUACAUUAGAUACCCCCGGUAGUCCUAGCCGUAAACGAUACUCGCUAGGUGUCGGCCACGGUGCGACCGUUGUCGGUGCCGUAGGGAAGCCGUGAAGCGAGCCACCUGGGAAGUACGGCCGCAAGGCUGAAACUUAAAGGAAUUGGCGGGGAGCACCACAACGGGUGGAGCCUGCGGUUUAAUUGGACUCAACGCCGGGAAGCUCACCAGAUAAGACAGCGGAAUGAUUGCCGGGCUGAAGACCCUGCAUGACCAGCUG
rnacentral:rRNA from 1 species